UUAUGACGAAAUAUUUUGUCGGAAAUGAAAAUUUGGUUUAAAAAUGAUAUUUUGCUUAUUCUUUCGAUUAAAGACUAAAUUAUACCUUACACUAAUUAAAUCUUUAUUGUGGUUUAAUUUCGGACCGAUCCAUAGUUGUCCUGAUCAUCGCGAAACAUCUCUUGGAAAUCGACCGUAGCAUCUCAACGAAUUAACUUAAUAAUGUUUAUAAAAGAAAAUAUAAAUGUAUUCGCAAAGAUGUACUUAAAGAUCUCUUUGCUGUGAAAAGAUUAAAUUUUUUUGUUGGUCUGUUGACUAGGUACAACCUCAAGGACGGAACGUUUUAGGAGCAAAACCGGAUGAAGGGAUUGAACGGGUUUAACGAACGUUCAUUGUAACGUUUUAUUUGAUUUUUGUUCAUAUUCACUGUCUGUUCGUACAGAUCGUAACACAUCGCGUAAUACAAUUUUUGUAGACGAAGUUUCUCCUCCUCUCGCGUGUUCGACGUUAAACAAAAUUACUAAAAAUAGACUCGAUAAAAUCAACCCUUCAAGUCAUUUUUUUUUUUUUAUCCACGUCGUCGCUGGUGUUACCUAAGAUGCGCGUCUCGAAGAAGAGAAUCCGUUUUUCCGUGAAACGCGCAAUAGAAAAACCAGGAUAAAUCUACUCGUUUUCUAAAUGUCGAACGUCGAUGCGAUGUAAACGUUCUGCUUCGCUUUUAACGUUUUUUUUUUUUCUGUUUCGUCGAAAGAUUCACUAAGAAGCGAACUCCCGCUAUAUAAUCAGACCACAGUGAUAGAAUGCAUAACGGCCUCCACGAGUACGACGAAGUCGUAGAUACAGAGUAUAAGUUUGAAAGUUUUGAUUUUUCAUCGCGGAAGAGGCUUCUUAGCGUUUGGGAUCUUUCGAUGCUGGAUUCUGUUACCCUUUGUCCAAAUAUCGCGUCGAAUGUAAUUAUUAUCUAGCGUCGGUUAGAUCGAGUUCACUCUCGAUGAAACGAAAUUAGGCGUAUCAGCAGUCCGAUGGUUCUGAGUUUGGCCAAUCAGGAGGUGCUCUACGAUGAAUUUCGCGCGCAACAAAGCAAAAUCGUUACGGACUACGCGAGCAUCUUUUGUACUGGCACUCGAGGUAUCCUCUUAUCGGAUGGUGUGUUAUCAAACGAUCGUACAAACACGAAUUCAUCAUCAACGGCAAUCGUUACGCGAGUAUUACGCUGGAACGCGACCCGAUCUCUUGUGUCUAUAGUUAUGGCUGAUUGUUCAGGCUGUUCAAGAUCGCUACAUCGUCAUCGGCACGUUGGUGUAUAAAUCUAGUAAAAGAACGAUUUAGUAUAAUAAUUAAACCGAUUAACAAAAAUAAUAUAAUAAAUAUAUAUAUAUAUAUAUAUAUAUAUAUAAUUAUAUAUUAUAUAAUUAGUUAAUUAUAUUAUAAUUAUGUAUAUAAUUCAUUAAUUUUUGUUAAUUUUAAUUACUAUACUAAAUCGUUUAUUCAAAUUGCCAUCUUUCUUUUGACCAAUAAUCCGCCAUAUUUGAUCAUUCCGAACUGUCCCGAACAUGCUGGAUCAAUGGAUUCCCAAUGUUAAUCCAAAUAAAAUUUUAGACUCGUAGAAACUUCCGUGAAUAUUAAUCU